ACUUAGAACCUAUUUUUCUCGGUCUCUCCCUAACCCCACCCCGCCACGUCAUCAAGGGUCAGGAUCUUACACAGAGAGAAGACAGUUUGUGAGCACUACUGUAAGGAGACAAGAGAAAAAGUUUAUUUUGUUCCCUAACUCUGAAAAUGGAGUAGUUUCAUGAACUCGAGUGUUAUGAUGAUCAGGCCUAGCUUAAAUUUACAUUUGAAUGCAGAAUCCCUUUGUGAGUGAAGUCUACUUAAUAAUUUACGGGGAAGAAGUUCUUUGGAAAAUCACAAACAUGAUUUAAAAGUAAAAAUGUGUUCUUUUAUUUUCCAUCCCUAAAAGAAUUUAUGGCAAUUCACUUAGAGUAUGAGAUCGGUGACACAAGAAGGAUGUUUAAAAAUUCAAAAGUUUUAGUGCGAUGCUUACUUGAUCGUUACUUUCACAGAGCUCCGAAUUGCACUUGUUUAGCUCUGACUUCUUGGUCAACAAGGAGACUUGAUCAUUAAGAGUUCUGCUAGAUCCUGCAUGGGAAACACUUUUUAAACUGUUUUGAAGCAGUGGAGUCAUUCCCAAUAUUAUCCAUUAGGGCGUUUCAGAGAAGAGGGGCUUUGGUACUUAGAAAAUCCAGUCCCAGCACAAUGGUGAGGAGUAAAGCACAUCAUACAGCAGAUGAAGGAGCCAGUGGUGAGUCGAGUCGGUGAGCCGGGCCAACCGGUCCCUGCUGCACAGCCCAGAAGACCAAGACUUGGAGAGUUAAAAAGACUUCAAAAAGCAGCGAUUAAGGGCCAAUGUUUUUAAAAUGUCCUCGUAUGAAUUUAAAUGGGAAGAAAAAAAAUUUUCACAGCCAAACGCUCAUAAGUUAAGGGUUAAUAAUUUAGGCAGCUAGCAAAGGGACUUUAUUAAACUCAAAAUUGGCAUUAAUUGACAUUUUCUAUUAGAGUCACUUUCUUUUCUAUGCAACACUCAAAAUACACAUUAACCAGUUGUUAUGAGGACUGUGUGUUUGUUAUUAUUUCAGAUCGUUAAAUUUCAGGCUAUGGGAUUAUUUUCACAAUAAAAUUUCAGAAUUUUAUAGUUGGCUAAUAAAGAUUCGGCCUCACCAGAUUUUAAUAUGCCUUGUUCUGGCCCCCUCCCCAGAGUCGAUCUUUAUUAGGAUAAAUUGCUGUAACAACAUUUUAUGAGAGAGGAAGUUUUCAUGAGACAUAAUUUUGGAAACAGGCAGGGAUCCCCAGAUGUUGCACUGUCUUUCAAGUUUCUAAAUCCUUUUCUGUUUUAAUGCCACUUGAUUCUAAUUAUGAUUAAGUAAGCCUUAAGUAAGUGUCAGAGUUUUCUUCAGUGUUCUGUAAAUCAUACACACAAAUGCAAUCCCCUAACAAAAUUAGGAUAAAAGGGCAGGCACAGAAACAAACAAACAAACAAACAAACAAAUACAGGGAACCAGAAGACAAUGUGGGCAGAGUAGACUUUUCUGAAAUCCUUCUUUGUAAGCAGAGUUGGGGAUCAGGAAAGGGAAGCCUGUUGUUGUUGUUGUUUUUUAAUCUGUGAUAAGGUAUCUUUUAUCCAUAAAGACGUCUCCAGCAGUGAUGAAUCUGAAUGCAUCCUUCCACACACUCCAAUCAUAUAUCUUUUUGACUAAAAGAUAUGUUUCUGCAUAUGGCUGCCUGAAAGGUGGACGAAGAGGGAGAGGGGAAGGUAAAUGAGCAGCCUGAAGCCUCAGAACAGAAAAGCAAAGGCACACAUCUUUUGACCUUGGCCAUUGGAUGUAACAAGAUACACAAUGGCCAGAAUAGUCACUAGCCCUUAGUGUCCCUGCACUGGCCAAGAGAUUUGGUGACAUAUUAUUGGGUUUAUAUAUAAUGUGAGAGAAAGACCAUGCUCCCUGAGCAAGCAUCUGCUUUUUGUGUUCUGAAAGGGCCUGAAAAUUUAGUGUAGUCAUGUGGGGAGGGGGGAAGGGUAGAAAGAAAACAUGUAUUAGGAGAGAGCUAGUGUAAAUGGUUAAGUGCACAAAGUUUUGGGACAAAUGCAAUGGUUCAAGUUCUGAUUACCUCUUGGGCUGUCUAGCCUUAUGCAAUCUUCUUUAACCUCUCUGUGCCUUAGCCCUUGACCCACAUCGUGUUGCUUAAUUGACCUUCUCAAGAACUCUGUAAGGCAUGUAGUAUUAUAAUCCCCAUUUUACAGAUAAAAAAGUAAGUCUAUGGGUAGAAUUGUGUGGGAGUUAUUACUUGUUAAAUACUCACAUAAUGUUUUAUUUCAUCUUUAUGACAAAAUUAAAGGGUAGGUAAUAUUAUUUCCACUUUAAAGAUAAAGACAAUGAGGCUAGGAAAGGUUAAGAAAGUUGCUCAGGUGUACAAAGGUAAGCAUCCAGGUGUGUCUGCUUUGGCAUUAUAUCAAAGGGCACCGGUGUCCCCAGCUAACUUCAAUUGCUAUUUGAUAAACACCUGCAUUAUAGUCUGGAAUAUUUAUUCUAUUUCUAAUUAAUUUUGUUGAUUAGAAAAUCAUUCCUCUCUUCAUGAUCAUUUGUCUAACUCAUUAAAAUUAAUAGUCAGCAUUAGAUCAGUGUGUUUGACAUCUGAAACUGAAUCACUCUGGACCUUGAGCGGAAGGCCCGUGUGUCAUGAGUUUGGGUGCAGGUGGAAGGAAAGAGAACAAGGUUCCUUCUUCCUUCCCUCCCUCACCAGACAGGAAGAGCCGGCAAAUAUGCAGCUGCCUCUUAACAAAGUGACAAAGCGCAUGGCAGCCUUCUGUCCUGAGCUAAGGAGCAUCUGGAAGUUCAAUUACCAGGCAGUCGUUUUUAACAUGGUCUGUCCUUUGGGGGCCCCAAAGCACUCAGGAAUGUGAAAACAGGGCUUUCCUCACCAGGAGCACUCAAGCAGGAAGCAGACCUUCCUGACAGGCUGCCCUGCUCAGCUUCCCGAGAGAGCAGGGCACACAAGAGCGAGAAGGAAGAAAAAGAAACAGAAAAACACAAAUUUUAAAAAUAAUAAUAAUAAGGCAACAAUGACAAUGUGAACAUAACACGGGGAUUUAAAGUUUGAGUUUAUAAGAGAUACUGUAGUCCUGGCUGACAUUGGUCCUUUUCAUCUGCCUAAUGUUGGCAAAGUCCUUUGGAGGCUUCCCGGAGGUCCUUCUGCUUGGAUGGGGUCCCUGGGAGAAGAGGGUGGCUAUUGCCGGAGCCCAGGGAGGUAACACCUAGGAGACCCAGCAGCCAGGACACUAUGGAGCUACCAUCAGAGAGAGGCUUGCAAGGGCUUGGUCCCUGUAGGGCACUUUGGCUGGGUAUGGCUAGAGAAACAACAUAAUUCAUCAUUACAGCCAGCAAGGAGCAUGUGGCCUUGACUCAUAGGCCACUUAAACUAGCCAAGUAUGCUAACUUGGUUAACAAUUCUUUAGCAUAUCCAAACUAAAAUGAAAAUAAUGGAUAGGCAGAAGGGGCCAACUUGCUGUAUUGGGGAAAUGCUCUUAGACAAUUUCUUUAUACAUGGCCCUUUUUGAAAAAAUACAGUGUAGAUAUUUGGGUGCAUAGACCUGACUGGCUAAUCAUUCACACUAUAAAGAGUUCUCUUUACAAAAAUUAUCUCCCUGUCCUCUCUUAAAAAUCAAGUUUUUUUAAAAAAUAUGAGCAUAUAUCCAGCCACACAAGUACCAAUGUUCCUUGCUUUGUCCCAGUGCUUCCCAAAUGAGAAUCCAGUCCUACAUGGCUGCAUUAGCAUCAGCUAGGUGUUUAUUAAAAAUAGAUUCCUGAGCUCUUCCCCAAUCCUGUUUGAAUCAGAAUCUCUGGAGAUGAGAAUCUGUAGAAUCUGUAUCCUUAACAAGUGUUCCAGGUGCUUCUGAGUGCAGGCAGAAUUGUUCCAGCCGGAACAAUUAGGUAAGAGAAAUAGUAAUAAAAGGCAUCCAAAUUGGUAAGGAAGAAGUAAGAUUAUCUCUGUUCACAGAUGAGAUAAUCUUACAUGUAGAAACCCUUAAAGUUUCCACAAAAAUUAUUAGAACUAAUAAGUGAAUUUAGCAAAGUAGCAAGAUACAAAGUCAACACACAAAGAUCAGUUGUAGUUCUAUCCAUAAACCACAAACAAUCUGGAAAUGAAAAUAUAAAAACAAUUCCAUUUGCAAUAGCAUCAAAAGGAAUAAAAUACUUAGAAAUUAAUUCCCCAGGCAGGGGAAAGACUUGUACAGUGAAACUACAAAGCAGUGCUAAAAGAGACUAAAGAAGACAUAAACAGACACACGUCCCAUGUCCACGAACUGGAAGACUCAACGAUGUUAAACAGAAAAGAACAAACGCUGGCAAGGAUAUGCAGACACUGGAACCCCUGUGUGCUGUAGUGGACGUGUAGACUGGCACAGGCACUGGGAAAACCAGUGUGGCAGUUCCUCAAAGAAUUAAAAAUAGAAUGACCGUAUUAUCUGGGAUUUCACCAAACCUGCAAAACAAGUUCAUGAGAGUUUUUGUACCUGCUUGGCAGUAAAUUUCUGUGUGUGUGUAGAGAAUUCAGCCAGAAACUCGCAUUCCUUGUAAGGAGAGGGUGUGGUUAUGGCUCUCACCUACCUUAACUGUUGAAGACAGGAGAGCUACCAAUGAGAACAAGUAAUUGUGAAUAUCCAAACCAGCACAAACAGCUUGCCAUACCUGCCAACUCUGGUAGAUGGGAGAUGAGUCUGAUUUCAUUUUUAUUUUUAAAUUUAAAAGAAUGUGACAUUUCUUUCUAUUAGUGCCAAGGAGCAAAUGCAUAACUAUGACAUGCUUAUUCCAUCACUACUGCCAAUGCCAACAUUUGGAGGUUCUGUUUUACAAUCACUGUCUGGGAAAGUCAGUCUUUGCAAUAGUCAUACCCGGCCUGUUAGAGACAUACCUUGUGGGGGCUGUGUGUCUA